rnacentral:lncRNA from 1 species
AAGUAGGGUGAUCUAUGAGCCCAUGAGUGAAAGCAACGUGCUUCCGCUUUUGCUCGACAAAGCCGGCUAUGAGUGUGGCGAAGAUGGAGAUGACAAGGCCGAUGCCCAUGCGAGUGAGGAAGGUAAUGCCACGGUCGAGGCCAGUGAACCUACGGGCGAUGGGGAUGAAGACACGAUCGUAUAAGGCAACGGUGAUAAGCAUUGUGAGCAAGGUAAAGACAGUCAUGGAACCAGCUGGGAUUUGGAAUGAGUUUGUUAAGUGUCUGUUCAUUGUUGAAGCUUGAAGGAGAGAAAAUGUGUAUUGUUGAGAAUAUGCUGUGAUUAAGAUGAUUCCUG